rnacentral:lncRNA from 1 species
GAGCAACUUAUCACAUGGACAGUGAGGUAAGCCCUGCAUCCCAACUGUGCACAAGAUGCAAGGGAAACACAAGAGAGGGAUCAAGGGCGGCUUUAGAGAAGAGAAGAUGCCUCAGCUCGAUGAAGAGUCCAGGGGGCACCCAAUGGAAGAGUGCACUCCAAGCACAGAGCAUGGCAUUUUCAGCUGCUUCCUUCCACUGGGAAAUGCCAUUUAUCUCCACCUGGCCUCAGGAGGGACUCGUUUACAAGAGGGAGCAAGGAGGGAACAUAGUUCUAGCUCUCUAGAGAAGGCAGCUUAACCCCGGGAUGCCCUCCAGGGACCACCAUCAACAUAUGGUUUUCAGAGUCUCAAUAUUUUAAGACCGACAUUACUCAUCCAUGACUGAGCCAUCUGCCUGGGACAAUCUUCCAUGGCUCAGGGAUCGGGAGUAACGGGAUGUCACGGGAAGCUGUGGAGGAGCCGGCCCGCUCCAGCAGAAUGAGCCAAGGUUUGGAGAGCCAGCAAAGAAUUGGACAGACAAUAUCGUUCCAUUAUAUCCAGUUCUGCUAAGGUCAUGGAGUCCGGCCUUGUUUAAAUUAAACUUUAUGCCAUAUUUAGUCAACCCUCCUAGAAUUAAAAGCUUAAUGCCUCUGCUGUCUUCAAUUGGCUAAGUCUACAUCAGGCUGUAAGCCAUAACACUUGACUAAAGCAAACAGUGCUAGCAGGAGGGUUAGUCAACACACACUGUGUAAACGCUGCUGAGAACCAUCCCUGUGUUAAUGUGAAAGAAAACGGACCCACAGUAUGCAGAGCAGGCAGGAAAACAGCUGAUGCUCAAGGCUGCAGUGUACAAUAUCAUCGCGCCUCUCCAAAUAAAGUGAAGAAGACAGAAUAUCUCCCAGGAGAGCUUGCCUGUCUGUACAUAAGGACGUACACACACACACCCACAUCCAACCAUGUGCCAGUAAUUUUUACAAUUUGAAUUAUUUUCCUUCUUCCAUAUUUACCUUCUAUUUUCACUAGGUCCACAUUUUUCUUUGCUUGCUGUAAUUAAUUUUAUUCUCCUUCAGUUUAAUUUAAACCAGACUAACAGUUCCUCGGGUAAGAACAUUCGAAUGUUGGUCACUUGAUUGGGCAGACCCACAUCUCAAAAUGAUAAAGUAUUAAAUGAAUAUUCCAGUAUUUAGGAUUAAAUGUUAAAGUAAAGCUUAUUUUCCAUAUUCUCCUUUUUCCAUGGCCAUACAUUGACAACUUUGAUGAAUCAUUUUGCUUUAAUAUAAGUGGCUCUGAAGACGUCUAGUUUGUUAGUGACCAGGCAGUUGCAGUCACAACCCCCCUCCCCCAACAAAGUGUACCCAUAGUUGCUGUCUCAGUAUUAGCCUGCAGGUUGAAAUCAUCACUACUGCCCUGAGGAAGCCUGUCUGAUGUUAACCUGUUCAUUUUCCCUCUACUCUCCCUGUACUCACCUUGGGGAUGGUGAGGGGUUCCUGGGGAGGAGGCAGACACCGUGAGAGCCUCUUGAGAGUCUGAAGAUGAGGGGCUAUGGCUCAGAGGAGCCAGGCAGGCUGGGGCUGCUGGCGAGGUCAGGUCCAAGGAGAGGUCGGCUCUGCCCCGGCUCACACUCCGGCUUCUCAGCUCCUUCUCGUGCUCCUCAGCUGCCAACUGUUCCAAGUAUUUGUAUCUGAAAGUUAAAUUCCAAAGGGUUUCCGUCAAACGAAAGAGGAGCCUGUGGCUGAUGCUUGUUUAUGGAUGAAACACCUGCAGAAUGAGCCGGUUUCCUGAUGCACACAGCACAGUGCAGGGCUGGCUGGAGAGUCAGCCUGCCAAAAACACCCAGCAAAGCCAAGAUGCUAAUGAUUAAAAAUCCCACGUCACUCAUAACCAAGCAAAUUGGGGGAAAUGGCAGCAUCACACAGUCCCUAGAUACUGGAUCACUGCUGCAGAAUCCUAUCUUGCUCUUUUAGGGAACAUUUGUAAAUAAGCAAAACAGCAAUAACCACCACCAAAAAGCCUCAAGAGUGAUGGCUGAAAACCAAACCCCCUCGGAGCUCACAGCUGUGAAAUGGGUGGGUGCCUUGGUGUGGCAGAGAGAAAAAAAAUGCCCCCCAUAUACCAAAGGGGGUUGCUUGGAUGAAGGCCUGCCUCUCUGAAUUUCUGAACCUGCUUCAAUACUAACAGCAAUGUAACUGGAAUUCACUUUGUUCUCUCAGUGCUGACCAUGGAAACUUUUUUUAUAUUCUAAAAUAUUUCUGAGUAGGAAUCAGACAUCCAAUAGCUUGAACCUGACGUCACAUAGAGUUUAUUCAUCAAAGUCAGUUUAAAAGAACAAAGAUACAUCUGUUUUGCAUUUCAGGCAGGCAGAACCCACUAACUGUUUAUUAAGACCAGCUACCAAUCAUAUUCCUCAUAGUGCGCUUUAUAGAUCAGACCAAAAUAACUUUGAAAUGUGUGCCUCUUCCAGAUGUCUGCUAAUUUUACUCACCAUUAUUUUUUCAGAAAUAAAUUUAUGCAUUCAGCUGUAACAGGUUUCUUACUAUCUUACCUACCACUAAACUUUGGAACAGCUUACUCAAGACGCUCACUUUGCAUCUAUCCAAUUCACUGCUUCAGUUCCUCACAAUGGGCAUUAGACAUGGUGUUCCUCAUUUACCCAGAUAAGAAAGGCAGAGCACAUAAUUAAAAUAUUUUAAAA